rnacentral:lncRNA from 1 species
AUCGUUAAACAUUCGAUGUUUAAAUAAGCAAAUAUAAAAAUAGUUUAAUCAACACUCAUCUGAAAUCGAGUCUUCUGAAUCAGAAUCCGAAAUAUCUGAUUCGAAUGCAGACGGUAUGGUGGACUUUGAAGUGGAAGCCAUGUGCGUCAUGUCGAGUCCGGAAGUCUUCAAAGUCUUAUUGAGUUUCUUCAUAUAAGAUUUCAUUGCAUUGAACUUCUUCUUGUAUUUGGAGACGUCUUUCUGACUCUAGUUACACUUGUUCUGAAAAUGAAAACAAAAAUGAGUUCGAUAAUCAACAAAAUUAUUGAAAUAUAUUUAAAAUACCUCCAAUUCUUUAACUUUUUCCGACCAAACUGCAUCUGGUGUUGCAUCAGUAGUCGUGUUUUCGGAGAUCGGCUCUUUUCCUUUCCAAUUUGGAGAAGUCCAUCUUUCGUUCGUUGUACUCACCAUAUAAGCAGCUUCUCCAAUUCCUAUGAUU